ACAGAGGUGCCUUUUUUUGCUCUUGAUUAUAGGGGGAAACACAAAUGUUCAGUGCAACCCAAACAAUUGGAUUUUAAAUGGCUGCAGCUGACAGAAAAAAAUAUCGUGGCUGUUUUACAGACACACAGAGCAGGAGUAGGAAUGAGUGUAGGAGAGUUCAGCCUGCCAUGUUUAGUCCUUCUACUCUGUUGCUUUGGGAGUUUCUCCUCAGGACUAUUCAACUUAAUAGACCUGAAGCAGUCAAGAGAGAAUGGAAUGUGUUGAACCAUCCCCUCCAGCACUUCAAGCAGUGCUUCAUUUUAGAGAUUUCAGUUUUGCAAAAGGCUGGGAGAAAGAUGCAUACUUCCCUUCCAUACUAACUGCAGGCUCAAGAUGAACCCAGAUAGGAAGUCACCACCACAGCCAGCAAUUGUUGAUGUGGAUGUCUGCAGAAGAUGAGCUCUGUGUCCCCUUUUCUCACUGCAAUCCUCUUCCUGCCUGUUGAAAGUGACGGCAGCGUGGGGCCAUCUGCCUCACCACCACAGUGCUGAAAUGUUUGUCCUGGUCUGGAGUGACUUUCUUGGGCAGGAUGAGCAUCAGCAAUGGUUCCUGCAGUAAGUGGCGCUAGCAGAGUUCUUGGGAAAUGGCUCUGUUUCAAGCACAGGGUUGCUUGUGUUCCUGCACAUGAGCAAUGGGCUAUUUCUGGCCAUUGUCAUCAUGGUCAUCCCAUGGAUAUUUUUUCCUGCACCUUGCAGGUUGGUGGUGGCAUUCUGGGGACUGCUGCUGGUUUCUGUUCAUGUUUUUUCUGAUACCUCCCAUGUAUUCCCUCACAAAUUAAAUUUACCUUUGUCAGUGAUCCCAGCACCAUAUCAAUUUUGAGUUUGUAGUUUUUUCCCAGUGAAUAUCUGGGACUAAAACAUUGGGAGUAAAUUACACAGCAGAUUAAAAAAUAGAUAUCAAUAUUUUUUUCCAAUAAAGAAUAGAUCACUUGCUUUUAAACAGAAUAGGUGAAUGAAAAUAGAAGAUGAAUGAUUAAAGCCUCAACUUUUUUACUGCUAAAAUUGAAAUGUUUUCCACUCCUUAAAAUUCAUGCAGAUGUUUUACCCUCAAAAUUGGCAUUACUAGCUCUUAGGCUGAGUGAGAUCAAAUGUGACAAGAGAA